GUGUUUUCAAACAUCUUUAUUGUUGUUCUUGUUGUGAGUUAUCUCCUCCUGCUGGUUGUUUCAUUUGAUCCUAAUCCUGUACAAAGUACAUUUACUAGUAUCUGUCAAAGUCAGUCUAGAGUCAAUGUAUUAUCAUUACAAUUAGUCUACUUUAUAUCUGAUCCAUUUCAGUUGAUUCAUGUGUAGUCACUAGUAUUAAAAUGGCGUACAGAGAAUCUUACAUCAUCCAAUAAAACGAGUCGUUAAAAUCACGUCAAGGAAACGCCAUUCACAAUAACACACGAAUAACUUAAAAAGGUUCCGGUAACAAGAUAAUUUCAUUAUCAUUGGAAUGCGUUGACCGAGAGUAUUUAGCAAAAAAAAAAAUAUGCAGAAACAAUCUAAUUUAUCCAAUAACAGGCGGGCAGAGACGAGCUAUUAAAAGAACAGAGAGGAGCUAUUGAACCAAAGAAGAACAGAAAUGAGCUAUUGAACCAAAGAAGA